UGACACUCUGAAUCACUUUGUCUCUCUGAAGAUCAGUCAUGAUGUUGCUCUGUGUCUUGGUGAUCUUAAUUCAGCUUAAAGAAAGUACUGCUGCAGAUGGAAUGCAGCCACUCUUCUCUGAAAAGCAUGUUUCAGAGGGAGCAGAUGUCACCCUCUCCUGUAACUACAGUGCAGCUACAGGAAACACCUUCCAGUGGUAUCGUCAGUAUCCUGGAUCCACACCAGAAUUCCUCCUUUUUUUCAACGAGUACAAUAAUAAAUCUGACCCUGCUCUUCGUCUGACAGCAGCGGCAAACAGACAAAUGAAACGUGUGGAUCUGAACAUCUCUCAUGCUGUAGUAUCAGACUCUGCACUGUACUACUGUGCUCUGGUGCCCACAGUUACAGGAAACUCAACUACACUGUGCAAAAACUCACUCCACUCACACAACAUUUCCUACAACAAUGGUCUCCUCUGCCCACCUGUGACUGGGGGUCCCAAAGGAGGAAGUACAGACCAGCUCCAGUUCAGCGAUCCUGGUAGUGCUGUACAACUGCUGGAGCCUCAGUCAGUAGCAAAGUUGGGUUACUGGAAUAUCCUGUAUUGA